GUCGAUUUAAAAAAUCGUGAGGGUUCAAGUCCCUCUAUCCCCAAAAAGAA
rnacentral:tRNA from 1 species